rnacentral:rRNA from 1 species
GCUGGCGGCGUGCCUAAUACAUGCAAGUCGAGCGAACAGAAGGGAGCUUGCUCCCGGAUGUUAGCGGCGGACGGGUGAGUAACACGUGGGUAACCUGCCUGUAAGACUGGGAUAANNNNGGGAAACCGGAGCUAAUACCGGAUAGUUCCUUGAACCGCAUGGUUCAAGGAUGAAAGACGGUUUCGGCUGUCACUUACAGAUGGACCCGCGGCGCAUUAGCUAGUUGGUGGGGUAAUGGCUCACCAAGGCGACGAUGCGUAGCCGACCUGAGAGGGUGAUCGGCCACACUGGGACUGAGACACGGCCCAGACUCCUACGGGAGGCAGCAGUAGGGAAUCUUCCGCAAUGGACGAAAGUCUGACGGAGCAACGCCGCGUGAGUGAUGAAGGUUUUCGGAUCGUAAAGCUCUGUUGUUAGGGAAGAACAAGUGCGAGAGUAACUGCUCGCACCUUGACGGUACCUAACCAGAAAGCCACGGCUAACUACGUGCCAGCAGCCGCGGUAAUAC